CCUACGGGAGGCUGCAGUGAGGAAUAUUGGUCAAUGGGCGGAAGUCUGAACCAGCCAAGUAGCGUGCGGGAUGAAUGCCCUAUGGGUUGUAAACUUCUUUUAUAUGGGAAUAACAUGUUCCACGUGUGGGGUUUUGUAUGUACCGUAUGAAUAAGGAUCGGCUAACUCCGUGCCAGCAGCCGCGGUAAUACGGAGGAUCCGAGCGUUAUCCGGAUUUAUUGGGUUUAAAGGGAGCGUAGGUGGAUUGUUAAGUCAGUUGUGAAAGUUUGCGGCUCAACCGUAACAUUGCAGUUGAAACUGGCAGCCUUGAGUACAGUAGAGGUGGGCGGAAUUCGUGGUGUAGCGGUGAAAUGUUUAGAUAUCACGAAGAACCCCGAUUGCGAAGGCAGCCCACUGGACUGCAACUGACACUGAGGCUCGAAAGUGUGGGUAUCAAACAGGAUUAGAUACCCGUGUAGUC
rnacentral:rRNA from 1 species